rnacentral:sRNA from 1 species
AUCAAUUCUUUUCUUCUUUUUUU